UCCGAGCGCCCGCUACUGCGCCUGCGCUACGCCGCCACGGCGGCGGCCGGAGGGAGGACGACAGCGACCCCUGGUGGCCAGGGGUGGCGGAGCGGCCUCGCGGCUCUACUCGCGGCUCUGCGCGCGGAGCCCCGAAAUCCCGAGCUCGCUCGAAGCGGCGCGUCCCGUACCCGGGGAACCCGGCGCGAGGUGGCGCGGCUCAGGGCAUGCGGGGGUCCCAAAGAGGGUCUCGGCCGCAGGAAGAGGCGUCGCUCCCCCUCCAAGCCCGCGUGGGCGAGGCGCCGUGCGGGGAGCUGGCGGGCGCCGGGAGGGACGGGGCGCCCGGAGGCGGACACGCGCCGCAUGACGCCCCGGCAAGGGCCGCUGGCGGGGAGGAGGCCCGACGAGUCCGAGUCGGGGGCCCGACAGCUUCCCGGGGAGGGCCGCCCGCGGUUCGUGCGUCCGCCCUCUAGGACGCGAGGGCUCGCCCCAGGGCCGCCGCUCGGCCCUUCCUGGCCCCCGCUCCCUCCCCAGGCCAGCACAGCGCACGGACCUCUCCUCGCUCGGCGGGGACGCGCCCUAGGGGCCCGCGCACGGACCCUGGACUUGGAAAUGGAAUCCUAAGUAAAACGGGGGAGAGAGCGUAGUGACACCCAGGGAAAGGGCGCGUCGGCAGCCCCAGGCGGUGCUCAGGGGUUCGCUGGGGCCCAGGCAGGUGUCUGACCCCUGAGCCACGCCAAAGCCUUUGGAGAGGGGCACCGUCAAAGGUGAGCACAUCGUAGGGUGUCCUUGAAGACUGAAAGAAUCCGUGCCCACGGAGCCCUUGGGCUGGAGCUUGGCACGUGGCAAAUGCCUUAACCAACGAACCCGAGCUCAUCUUGGGACAGAGGUGGUCAGUGUGGAGCGGGCUGGAGAUGCUGGCGGAGCACAGUCCCUGGGAGCACAGUCCCUGGGAGCACAGCGGCGGGCCAGGAUCAUUCCAGAUGGAACUAGUUGAGAUGAGGGCAUACUGGAGUAGGGCGAGCUGGUAAUCCAACAGGACUGGUGUCCUCAUAAGAAGAGAAGAGACACAAGAAGGAAGAUCAUAAGGCAGAGCAAGACACUGGACUUAUCUGCCACAAGACACGGAACUCUUGGGCCCAGUAGAAGCCAGUAAACUCUCAUGUGACAACGUCUUCCUGCAGAACUGAGAAAGAACACAGCUUACUUACACCUUGAUUUCUGACUUCUGCCUCCAGAACUGUAAGGAAAUAAAUUUUAAGGUACGCUUUAAGGUGCCCCGUUAUGGUGGACUGUGUGACAGCCCCAGGAGACUCAGAGGAUGAACACUUCUGGAGCAGAGUCAGAAGAAGCCCAGGUGGGGCGCCC